ensembl:lncRNA
UUUCACUCAGAAGCCUUAAACAUGAUUAUGAGUUAAUUGUAGAUGUUGUUUGGAGCUUUAUGCUUUUGAUGUUCAGUGUUGUCUGUUUUGAUGUUGUCUUUCGUUGCUUUUGAAAGGAUUUCAUUUUUAGUCAUCUGUGUGAAUGCCAAGUUUUGAAGUGGAAUAGACAUUCCUGUUUGAAGUGUGGUUACUUUAGGCUACACAUGUUUUGUUGUUUUUGUCUUUUGUUUGAUGUUGUUGCAUAUGCCUUCUGUGUGUUAUUAGACUAUCGCUGAAUGCAUUUCUCAUGAGAUUAUUACCUUUAAAUGUGUCACUUUAAAAUGUAUUUUUACUGCAUCUCAAAAUUAGUAUUGAGUAUACAUCAAUGUUCACAAUGUGCUGUUGACAAUUGGUGACAUGUGGUUCAAUGCUUGGUACGAUUUUUCCAAAGCUGUUAUACCAGAUUUAUAUAUUUCAAAUAAAUUUUGGACAUGGUGGAAAUAUGACAUUUCUUUUACUUUGUUUUCCAAAUACAAGAAAAUAGAAUUUGCUGUGUAUUUUACAUUGUGUACACUUCUUUCAUUUGAUUUGACAACAGUGAUAGUUACAAUGUCCUCAACGGCAGGCCUAGUUUGACUGUUUUUGUAUUUUUACUUCUCUUCUAAUCUACCCACUAGAUUAUCACAAAAUAUGUAAAAUGCACAUUAAUCAAUAAUUUAUGGCAUACAAGUCGGCCCCUUCAAUUAUUCGUAAUAAUUUAGUAGUUUAUUAAGGUUUUUGUGUGAUGGGUGCCUCGUGUAUUAUCUGGGAUCCACACAUAUAAACUGCGGAGCAGAUAGGACUGUGCUUGUCUUGCCAUGCACAUAGCGUUCUCCAUCACUGCUAGUUGGCAGCGUCCCUCUCUGGAGAGCCAAGAGGGAUGGAGAUGAUGCAGAAGAUGGAGGAGAAUGUUGUUUUUGUCCCCCGACUAAUACUUGAGAUUACUGAGGUUAACCACCAUGGCUUUCUGUACGUUUAAUGCUUUUGAAGGGAAAAAGGAAAUAAAUAGUUUCAAUAAUAUUCUGUUUACAAAUUGUAAUCACAAAUUGUAAUUGUUUACAUGUUUUUCUUUGAAAACGAAUGGAGGUGCAAUAAGAUUGUUGUGGUUGAACCUAUCUCUGUUCUCUCCUGGGUUACGACAUGUCUGGUCGUAACCUCGUGAUGGACACCUGGUGUGUCCUGGGCGUGACCAGUGACAUCACAUCUGUCUGUUCCAAUCUCUGUCUCACCCUCUCUCUCUCUCUCUCUCCCCACCUCCCUGGGAAUGACUUUGGAUUAGAGACAUGCCCGAACUCUAGACAGAGUUGGGGCAUGAAGAUUGCUUGAAGAUUGCUUACUCUUCAAACAUUAAAUGUGUCAAAUAGCAGAUUGAAAGCUUGGAGGGAACCAUGCUUAUUAAAAAACACAUACUAAAACCACUUUAGUCAAUCAUUCAAUGUGUCAAAAAACAGAAGGAAAGCUUGGGGUAAAUCAUGCUUAUUAAAAACACAUACUCAAAC